CGCCAAGCCCCGCCCCCCGGGGUAGCGCAGCCAAUGGGAGUGGCUGCUGGGGUGGGCGUGGACGCGUGGCCAAUGGCGGGACGUCGGCGGGCGGGGAGGCGGGGUCGAACCGAGCACUACCGAACUCAGCCGAGCCUGAACCGAGCUUUACCGAGAUGGGCCGAAUCGAGCCGAGCCGAACCGAGCCCGAGCCGAACUCAGCCGAGCCCGAACCGAGCUCUACCGAGAGGUCCCGAGUCGAACCGAACCGAGCCGAGCGGAGCCCCCUCACAGUAUGAGGCCAAAGCUGUUGAAGGAUUUAAAGUUUUAACGAGUUCAGUGUGCGUUAUUCAGUGAGCACGUCCACGUGUGGGAAUCAAAAUCAGUAGGAGAAGACAAGAAAUACUCGUUACGUGGUAAAAGAGGUGACACAAACAUCCCUACGGCGCUGAGAAAGGAGGCAAAAAGCCAAGUGGCAGGAUAUCUGCUGAGAAAGCUGAGAAGAUGACAGUCUCGCAGGAGAAGAGGGAAGGCAGCAGGAUGCUGUUGGCCCUGCUUGACUCACCCCGUUCCCUCCAUUUGGAUUGGCUUCUGACAGCAAAGGUUCUUCUCAGUUAAAAACACAACUCAUAAAACAAGACAACUACCAGAUUUCCUUCCUUCAGAUGUGUGAGAGCCUCAUGCCCAGCGAGUGACUGCAUUUCCCUGGACACGAAAAGGAAAACUCAGUGUGCUCAAGUAAAAAAAGUGUCAGCAUUGCCUAGAGAAGAUGCUGAGAGGAAAAAUGAGCUGGAAGGCACAUCUGCAGCCCCAGAUCACAUUUUCACUUGCUUGAGCGUGUCAGAGUAUCUGACACUGCAACGUUGGACUCUCCUUGGGCACAGAAAUCCUGACUGACAGUUCGGAAUGGAAGCAGGGAAAUACUGAAUUCAUGCUUCCCUUCUUCCUGUGUCCAGGGCAGGAAAUGGACAUAAUUCAUUCUAAGGAAAAAAAUCAACUUGGAAAAGCACUCUGAACUUCUC